AACGAACGCUGGCGGCAGGCUUAACACAUGCAAGUCGAGGGGCAGCGCAGGGUAGCAAUACCUGGGCGGCGACCGGCAAACGGGUGCGGAACACGUACAGAACCUUCCUUCGAGCGGGGGAUAGCCCAGAGAAAUUUGGAUUAAUACCUCAUAGUAUAAUGGUGUGGCAUCACAUUAUUAUUAAAGAUUUAUCACUUGAAGAUGGCUGUGCGUAUGAUUAGGUAGUUGGCGGGGUAACGGCCCACCAAGCCUACGAUCAUUAACUGGUGUGAGAGCACGACCAGUCACACGGGCACUGAGACACGGGCCCGACUCCUACGGGAGGCAGCGGUAAGGAAUAUUGGUCAAUGGACGCAAGUCUGAACCAGCCAUGCCGCGUGGAGGAUGAAGGUCCUCUGGAUUGUAAACUUCUUUUAUCUGGGACGAAAAAAGGCUUUUCUAAGUCGUCUGACGGUACCAGAUGAAUAAGCACCGGCUAACUCCGUGCCAGCCGCCGCGGUAAUAC
rnacentral:rRNA from 1 species